rnacentral:rRNA from 1 species
UACAGAGGAGCCAAGCGUUGUCCGGAUUUACUGGGCGUAAAGAGCGCGCAGGCGGUCGUUCAAGUCGAGUGUGAAAGCCCCCGGCUCAACUGGGGAGGGUCACUCGAUACUGAUCGACUUGAAGGCAGGAGAGGGAAGCGGAAUUCCCGGUGUAGCGGUGAAAUGCGCAGAUAUCGGGAGGAACACCUAUGGCGAAGGCAGCUCGCUGGGACGUUACUGACGCUGAGACGCGAAAGCGUGGGGAGCAAACAGG